GCUCAGUAACACGUGGAGAACGUGCCCUUAAGUGGAGGAUAAUCUCGGGAAAUUGAGGAUAAUACUCCAUAGAUCAUGAGAUCUGGAAUGACUCAUGGUUCAAAGUUCCGGCGCUUAAGUAUCGCUCUGCGGCCUAUCAGGUAGUAGUGGGUGUAAAGUACCCCCUAGCCUACGACGGGUAUGGGCCUUGAGAGAGGGAGCCCAGAGUUGGAUUCUGAGACACGAAUCCAGGCCCUACGGGGCGCAGCAGUCGCGAAAACUUCACACUGGGGGGAACCCCGAUGAGGGAAAUCCUAGUGCUAGGACAUUUGUUCUAGCUUUUCUCAAGCGUAGAUAACUUGAGGAAUAAGGGCUGGGUAAGACGGGUGCCAGCCGCCGCGGUAAUACCUGCAGCCCAAGUGGUGGUCGAUUUUAUUGAGUCUAAAACGUUCGUAGCCGGUUUGAUAAAUCUUUGGGUAAAUCGGGAAGCUUAACUUUCCGACUUCCGAAGAGACUGUCAAACUUGGGACCGGGAGAGGCUAGAGGUACUUCUGGGGUAGGGGUAAAAUCCUGUAAUCCUAGAAGGACCACCGGUGGCGAAGGCGUCUCGCUAGAACGGAUCCGACGGUGAGGGACGAAGCCCUGGGUCGCAAACGGGAUUAGAUACCCCGGUAGUCCAGGGUGUAAACGCUGCAGACUUGGUGUUGGGGGCCCUACGGGGGCGUUCAGUGCCGGAGAGAAGUUGUUAAGUCUGCUACUUGGGGAGUACGUCCGCAAGGAUGAAACUUAAAGGAAUUGGCGGGGGAGCAC
rnacentral:rRNA from 1 species